rnacentral:lncRNA from 1 species
UGAUGAGUAUCAGUUACUUUUCAGAUGAUAAUAUGAGGCUCUAAUCUCAUUUACUUUUUUAAGCCAUAUUGUUGUAUUCAAGACCACAUGACAUCAUUCAGGAAACUAUCAAAAUGAGUAAGUAGAUUAGUCCAAGAUACAUUUGAAGCCCAAAUGAAAAGCCAGCAUAUCUGAAAACUGGAUAAAUCCUCAAAUUAUAUUGCUAAAAAUUC